UAAUGAAAAAUGUGUUCUCUCACCAUAAUAGAGUUAAACCACAGAACAACAAAGAAAGAUAUAUUUGGAAAUUGGGCAACUCAGUUCAUAACCCAAAGGUCAAAGAAGAAAUCAUACUGAAAAUUAGAAGGAAUGUAAGCUCCAUAAGAGCAGGAACCUUAUCAGCCUUGCUGACCAAUGAAUCUCCGGUACUUGAAUCAUCAGAAUACCUGACACACUGCAGGUGAUUAUGAAAUACUUGUGAAAUGAAGAAAGAAUGCAUCCACUUCCUACCAAGAACCAGGCUGAGAUAACUGGUAAAUAUGUCAGUUCAUACAAGAUACAAAUAAUCUCUUAACUUCCUUCAGCGAUCUAAACUCUGAUCUUGAUAAAACUAUAUUACUAGAAACUACAUCCUUGGACCACCUUAAACAAGUGAAUUGCAUAUCACUUUCACUGUGUUACAUUAUUCACUGUGUUACAUCUUAAUGUUAUUGGAGUUCACGACUUCAAUAAAAAUAUUGAUGUUGUUUAUAUAGCUUUUAUUGAUUGUUGUUUAUGUAGAUUUUAUUUACACAGGGUCUGUCAUGAGAAAUUCCUUUAAGUUACUGCUAGGGAGAGUUUAACUUCCUCUGAAGAAUUGGUAUAUGAUUUUUUUUUUUCAUUCUAUCACUAAAAAGCAUAUUGGCUUGAAGCUUAGUCAUAACAAGCAUGUUGAUACUUAUUACUGCCAUAUUUACAUUCUCUAGUUUCUUUGUGUUAAC
rnacentral:lncRNA from 1 species